UGUGGCUGAUAAACCAAUACAGUGUCAUG
rnacentral:piRNA from 1 species